rnacentral:tRNA from 1 species
AUCAUUUUGGCAGAAUACUAAUGCAAAAGAUUUAGAAUCUUUAAAAUCCUAA